rnacentral:rRNA from 1 species
CCUACGGGUGGCUGCAGUGGGGAAUAUUGGACAAUGGGCGAAAGCCUGAUCCAGCCAUGCCGCGUGUGUGAAGAAGGCCUUCGGGUUGUAAGGCACUUUCAGUGGGGAAGAAAGCCUUGGGGCUAAUACCCUCGAGGAAGGACAUCACCCACAGAAGAAGCACCGGCUAACUCCGUGCCAGCAGCCGCGGUAAUACGGAGGGUGCGAGCGUUAAUCGGAAUUACUGGGCGUAAAGCGCGCGUAGGCGGUCUGAUAAGCCGGUUGUGAAAGCCCCGGGCUCAACCUGGGAACGGCAUCCGGAACUGUCAGGCUAGAGUGCAGGAGAGGAAGGUAGAAUUCCCGGUGUAGCGGUGAAAUGCGUAGAGAUCGGGAGGAAUACCAGUGGCGAAGGCGGCCUUCUGGACUGACACUGACGCUGAGGUGCGAAAGCGUGGGUAGCAAACAGGAUUAGAUACCCCGGUAGUC